rnacentral:rRNA from 1 species
AGUGAACGCUGGCGGUAGGCCUAACACAUGCAAGUCGAACGGCAGCACAGUAAGAGCUUGCUCUUACGGGUGGCGAGUGGCGGACGGGUGAGGAAUACAUCGGAAUCUACUUUUUCGUGGGGGAUAACGUAGGGAAACUUACGCUAAUACCGCAUACGACCUACGGGUGAAAGCAGGGGAUCUUCGGACCUUGCGCGAUUGAAUGAGCCGAUGUCGGAUUAGCUAGUUGGCGGGGUAAAGGACCACCAAGGCGACGAUCCGUAGCUGGUCUGAGAGGAUGGUCACCCACACUGGAACUGAGACACGGUCCAGACUCCUACGGGAGGCAGCAGUGGUGAAUAUUGGACAAUGGGCGCAAGCCUGAUCCAGCCAUACCGCGUGGGUGAAGAAGGCCUUCGGGUUGUAAAGCCCUUUUGUUGGGAAAGAAAAGCAGCAGGUUAAUACCCCGCUGUUCUGACGGUACCCAAAGAAUAAGCACCGGCUAACUUCGUG